rnacentral:lncRNA from 1 species
UCACCAUCUUCAUCGUAAAAAAUCCAGAAAAAUUAAAAAAUUAAACAAUUCAUUCAUCACUUCUUAGGUAAACCGUUAUUUGUCAAAACAGAAGCUUUGUAAUAACAGGUGUUCUUCAUAAAAUAAAAAUAAUAAUCAACAAUUUCAAGGUGCCGUUUUGGUUCAUCGGUGGUGCUCCGAUGAUGGUCCUUAUUUUAUUCUCUCCGUUUUCACUUGUUUUUCUCCGUUAAGCAAGGUUCCGACUCUAUCUCUCUUCAAGAUCUUGCUUUCUCUGGCGCGGUCUUGUUCGAUUCUACUGGCUCGAAGCUCGUGGAGCUCUUUCUUUGAUUUUGGUGUUCUGGGUGUGGUUCUCUCAAACCUGGUUUCAUGAAGGUCAAUUCUUGGUGAUUCGACGACAUUCUAGGUGUUGUUCAUUCAUCUUUGGUGUUAUGGACUUUGCUUCUAUAGCGAGAUUCCGUUCGUACCUCUUGAUUUGAAGUUGGUCACGAUUGUUUUGAAGUUACUCCAGGCCUGCGAUUUCCUUGUUGAAGUUAAUUUGUUGUUGGAUAUGGUUUGUCUGUGGAAAUUUCUUGAGCCACCGAAGGAGGUGACGCCGGAAAACCCCGCCUUAAAGUCAAUUUGGUUUACAGUACUUACAAUAGUCAAUUCCAUCACAUGA